rnacentral:rRNA from 1 species
UACAGAGGGUGCAAGCGUUAAUCGGAAUUACUGGGCGUAAAGCGCGCGUAGGCGGUUUGUUAAGUUGGAUGUGAAAUCCCCGGGCUCAACCUGGGAACUGCAUCCAAAACUGGCGAGCUAGAGUAUGGUAGAGGGUGGUGGAAUUUCCUGUGUAGCGGUGAAAUGCGUAGAUAUAGGAAGGAACACCAGUGGCGAAGGCGACCUCCUGGACUGAUACUGACACUGAGGUGCGAAAGCGUGGGGAGCAAACAGG